CUUGACUGAGGAGCCUUCGGCCCGCUCAAAAGGAGACUGAAGUUUGGAGUUGGCAGAAGGCGAGUCCGCGGCUUCAGAUGGUAGAACUUGAUGAUGACGGUCAUGUGGACUUCUGGCAUUUAAUCCAUCAACGUAGGGGCAUCACGGUGCUUUGAUCGGGUGGUGGUGGCGCAGAUCGGAAAACAGAAAAAGAACUGCAGAGAAAGUAGGGAUGGACACCUCAGAAGUGAGCCUAGGAGCCAUGGUGGGUCAGAACAUCAAUGAUGGUGAACAUCCCAUUCAAUAUCUGAGCUGAGAACGGGAAACAGGGUGUGCUGCGGUGGAACGGAAAACCGUGGUGAUUAAAUGGGCAGUCAUGAAUCUUCACUCUUCAGGAGUUCAACCUCAUUAUGGAUUAUACACCUCACCAAUGGAUGGCUACUCACAAAGAGAGUAAUCCCGGGGUCUCCUUUUCGCCAACAUGGAUGUCUUAUCCAUGGCCUCUUGGCCAGGUCCCCUCCACCAUCUAUCUGUGAGCUUAGGCGGGAGACCCCAUGUUGAACACUGGAGACUUUUAUGUUUGCUUUAGAGAGGAGGAAGUCUUACCUGAGGGACUGAGGCGUCACUUCCAUUGAUCUCACCACUGCCUGCAUAUAAGACACCUGACCCAAAAGGAAGUUUGUGUGACCUCGAGGUCAAGGAGAACAGACGUCUGCUGAGAGCCACCCUGAGAGCCACAUACGUCACAAUAGUGAAACCUGACAGCUGUGUUUUUUGCUAAAUUCUUUCUCUUUUUGUUUUGAACAUUAAACAGGUCAUUAUGGGGCACCAACUCUU